rnacentral:misc_RNA from 1 species
CAGCUUUUACUUUUUUGAUUAGCGGUAAGAAUUUUGGGGCAAUUGCUUUUGACUAAUUAUCCUCAUUUUUCUGCUAUUUCCACCUUUUUUUUCCUUCUUCUUCCCCAUCUUUCCCGCUUCUUCUUUUCUAUUUUCCUUUCCUUUCAGUGUUAUACCAUAAAAUCCCAUAUAUACCGCUUUUGCUUUUUGUUGACCACUUCCCCAUCUUUCCCACUUGUUGACCGCUUUUGCUUUUACUUUUUGCUUUUGCUUUUUGUUAACAACCCCUUUUUCUUCCGCAUCUGCAGCACAUUCCGGGAUCGCAGUUCGCAGGCAGCCUAAAAAAUGGGAUUUGG